rnacentral:rRNA from 1 species
UACGAAGGGGGCUAGCGUUGUUCGGAAUCACUGGGCGUAAAGGGUGCGUAGGCGGGCAAUUAAGUCAGGGGUGAAAUCCCGAGGCUCAACCUCGGAACUGCCUUUGAUACUGGUUGUCUUGGGUCCGGAAGAGGUGAGUGGAACUGCGAGUGUAGAGGUGAAAUUCGUAGAUAUUCGCAAGAACACCGGUGGCGAAGGCGGCUCACUGGUCCGGAACUGACGCUGAGGCACGACAGCGUGGGGAGCAAACAGG